GAUGAACGCUGGCGGCGUGCCUAACACAUGCAAGUCGAGCGAACCCUUCGGGGUGAGCGGCGGACGGGUGAGUAACGCGUGGGUAACCUGCCCUAUACACACGGAUAACGUACCGAAAGGUACGCUAAUACGGGAUAAAGUUGUUGGAUGGCAUCUUCUAACAAUCAAAGCUCCGGCGGUAUAGGAUGGACCCGCGUCUGAUUAGCUGGUUGGUGAGGUAAUGGCUCACCAAGGCGACGAUCAGUAGCCGACCUGAGAGGGUGAUCGGCCACACUGGAACUGAGACACGGUCCAGACUCCUACGGGAGGCAGCAGUGGGUAAUAUUGCACAAUGGGCGAAAGCCUGAUGCAGCAACGCCGCGUGAGCGAUGAAGGUCUUCGGAUCGUAAAGCUCUGUCCUCAAGGAAGAUAAUGACGGUACUUGAGGAGGAAGCCCCGGCUAACUACGUGCCAGCAGCCGCGGUAA
rnacentral:rRNA from 1 species